CCUACGGGUGGCUGCAGUGAGGAAUAUUGGUCAAUGGACGAGAGUCUGAACCAGCCCAGUAGCGUGAAGGAUGACUGCCCUAUGGGUUGUAAACUUCUUUUAUAUGGGAAUAAAAUGUUCCACGUGUGGGAUUUUGUAGGUACCAUAUGAAUAAGGAUCGGCUAACUCCGUGCCAGCAGCCGCGUGAAUACGGAGGAUACGAGCGUUAUCCGGAUUUAUUGGGUUUAAAGGGAGCGUAGGUGGAUUGUUAAGUCAGUUGGGAAAGGUUGCGGCUCAAACGUAAAAUUGCAGUUGAAACUGGCAGUCUUGAGUAUAGUAGAGGUGGGCGGAAUUCGUGGUGUAGCGGUGAAAUGCAUAGAUAUCACGAAGAACUCCGAUUGCGAAGGCAGUUCACUGGACUGCAACUGACACUGAGGCUCGAAAGUGUGGGUAUCAAACAGGAUUAGAGACCCGAGUAGUC
rnacentral:rRNA from 1 species